GGGUGCGAUCAUACCAGCACUAAUGCACCGGAUCCCAUCAGAACUCCGAAGUUAAGUGUGCUUGGGCGAGAGUAGUACUAGAAAGGGUGACCUCCUGGGAAGUCCUCGUGUUGCACCCC
rnacentral:rRNA from 1 species